rnacentral:rRNA from 1 species
UUAAUACUCCAUAAUAUAUUGAACGGCAUUCGUUUAAUAUUGAAAGCUCCGGCGAUAGAGAUGGGCACGCGCAAGAUUAGCUAGUUGGUGAGGUAACGGCUCACCAAGGCGAUGAUUCUUUAGGGGCCUGAGAGGGUGACUCCCCCACACUGGUACUGAGACACGGACCAGACUCCUACGGGAGGCAGCAGUGAGGAAUAUUGGUCAAUGGGGUGCAAGCCUGAACCAGCCACUCCCGCGUGAAGGACGACUGCCCUAUGGGUUGUAAACUUCUUUUGUAUAGGGAUAAACCUACCCUCGUGAGGGUAGCUGAAGGUACUAUACGAAUAAGCACCGGCUAACUCCGUG